AACGAACGCUGGCGGCAGGCCUAACACAUGCAAGUCGAACGUGAAGCCACCUUCGGGUGGUGGAAAGUGGCAGACGGGUGAGUAACGCGUGGGAAUCUACCCAAUGGUACGGAAUAACUCAGGGAAACUUGAGCUAAUACCGUAUGUGCCCGAAAGGGGAAAGAUUUAUCGCCAUUGGAUGAGCCCGCGUCGGAUUAGCUAGUUGGUGGGGUAACGGCCCACCAAGGCGACGAUCCGUAGCUGGUCUGAGAGGAUGAUCAGCCACACUGGGACUGAGACACGGCCCAGACUCCUACGGGAGGCAGCAGUGGGGAAUAUUGGACAAUGGGCGCAAGCCUGAUCCAGCCAUGCCGCGUGAGUGAUGAAGGCCCUAGGGUUGUAAAGCUCUUUCGGCGGGGACGAUAAUGACGGUACCCGCAGAAGAAGCCCCGGCUAACUUCGUGCCAGCCGCCGCCGUAACAC
rnacentral:rRNA from 1 species